rnacentral:rRNA from 1 species
CAAAAACAUGUCCUUUUGUUUAUGAUUUAAGGUCAGGCCUGCCCAAUGAUUGUUUUAAAUGGCCGCAGUAUUUUGACUGUGCAAAGGUAGCAUAAUCAUUAGUUUCUUAAUUAGAAGCUGGAAUGAAUGGUUCGAUGAAAAAUUGACUGUCUCAAAUUAAUUGAUUUUGAAUUUUAUUUUUAAGUGAAAAAGCUUAAAUUUUUUAUGAAGACGAGAAGACCCUAUAGAGUUUUAUAUUUAUUAUUAUUAAUUUUUUAAAGUUUUUCUUAUACUUAAUAUUAUUAAAUAUUUUGUUGGGGUGACAUUAAAAUUUAAUAAACUUUUAUUUUUAAAAACAUUAAUUUAUGAUUAAAUGAUCCUAUUUUUUAGAUUAUAAGAAAAAAUUACCUUAGGGAUAACAGCGUAAUUUUUUUGGAAAGUUCUUAUUGAUAAAAAAGUUUGCGACCUCGAUGUUGGAUUAAAAUUUAGUUUAGGUGUAGAAGCUUGAAUAUUAGGUCUGUUCGACCUUUAAAAUUUUACAUGAUCU